GAGUUUGAUCAUGGCUCAGGAUGAACGCUAGCGACAGGCUUAACACAUGCAAGUCGAGGGGCAGCGGUGGUGAAGGCUUGCCUUUACCAGCCGGCGACCGGCGCACGGGUGAGUAACACGUAUGCAACCUGCCUGCCACAGCCGGACAAUCGGGAGAAAUUCCGUCUAAUACGGCAUAAUGCAUCGACGGGACAUCCUGUUGGUGCCAAAGGUUAAUUCCGGUGGCGGAUGGGCAUGCGUCGCAUUAGUUAGUUGGCGGUGUAACGGACCACCAAGACGACGAUGCGUAGGGGUUCUGAGAGGAAGGUCCCCCACACUGGUACUGAGACACGGACCAGACUCCUACGGGAGGCAGCAGUGAGGAAUAUUGGUCAAUGGGCGGGAGCCUGAACCAGCCAAGUCGCGUGAGGGAUGACGGCCCUAUGGGUUGUAAACCUCUUUUGCCGGGGAGCAAAGUGCCGCACGUGUGCGGUUUGGAGAGUACCCGGAGAAAAAGCAUCGGCUAACUCCGUGCCAGCAGCCGCGGUAAUACGGAGGAUGCGAGCGUUAUCCGGAUUUAUUGGGUUUAAAGGGUGCGUAGGCGGACGCUUAAGUCAGCGGUAAAAUUGCGGGGCUCAACCUCGUCGAGCCGUUGAAACUGGGUGCCUUGAGUGGGCGAGAAGUACGCGGAAUGCGUGGUGUAGCGGUGAAAUGCAUAGAUAUCACGCAGAACUCCGAUUGCGAAGGCAGCGUACCGGCGCCCAACUGACGCUGAAGCACGAAGGCGUGGGUAUCGAACAGGAUUAGAUACCCUGGUAGUCCACGCAGUAAACGAUGAAUGCUAGUUGUCCGGGGCGAUUGAGUUCUGGGUGACACAGCGAAAGCGUUAAGCAUUCCACCUGGGGAGUACGCCGGCAACGGUGAAACUCAAAGGAAUUGACGG
rnacentral:rRNA from 1 species